UACGUAGGGUGCGAGCGUUGUCCGGAAUUAUUGGGCGUAAAGAGCUUGUAGGCGGUUUGUCGCGUCUGCUGUGAAAAUCCGGGGCUCAACCCCGGACUUGCAGUGGGUACGGGCAGACUAGAGUGUGGUAGGGGAGACUGGAAUUCCUGGUGUAGCGGUGAAAUGCGCAGAUAUCAGGAGGAACACCGAUGGCGAAGGCAGGUCUCUGGGCAACAACUGACGCUGAGGAGCGAAAGCAUGGGGAGCGAACAGG
rnacentral:rRNA from 1 species